AUUGAACGCUGGCGGCAGGCCUAACACAUGCAAGUCGAGCGGAUGAAGGGAGCUUGCUCCUGGAUUCAGCGGCGGACGGGUGAGUAAUGCCUAGGAAUCUGCCUGGUAGUGGGGAUAACGUCCGGAAACGGGCGCUAAUACCGCAUACGUCCUGAGGGAGAAUGUGGGGGAUCUUCGGACCUCACGCUAUCAGAUGAGCCUAGGUCGGAUUAGCUAGUUGGUGGGGUAAAGGCCUACCAAGGCGACGAUCCGUAACUGGUCUGAGAGGAUGAUCAGUCACACUGGAACUGAGACACGGUCCAGACUCCUACGGGAGGCAGCAGUGGGGAAUAUUGGACAAUGGGCGAAAGCCUGAUCCAGCCAUGCCGCGUGUGUGAAGAAGGUCUUCGGAUUGUAAAGCACUUUAAGUUGGGAGGAAGGGCAGUAAGUUAAUACCUUGCUGUUUUGACGUUACCAACAGAAUAAGCACCGGCUAACUUCGUG
rnacentral:rRNA from 1 species